AUUCGUAAUCACGCAGGGAAUAUUAUCUGCUUUUAAGGUUUUGCUAGUACAAUAUUAGAUGCUUUUGCGUUAAUUCUUUGGCUGGAUCCGUAUAAAAACUUGAAGAGUAUGCUGAGGGUAGUGGUAGUCAUUCAAAAUCAUUUACACGUCUUUUUUAAAAUUUUCACUUGUCUAGUGAUUUUGUGACAGAUGUGUGUUCAUAGUAAUGGAUGCUUCUGUGUUAAAGAUGAUAUGUUAGUCGAGAUCGAAUUAUAAUUGUAAUUCAGUUAUUGGUAUAAAGAGAAAUUUGUAUUAUACUUGUAAUAACCAAUACUUUUAAAUGAUUGUUAAUAGUCAGGAUGUCUGUGGAUAACUGGGUUGGCAUUUUGACCAGCCUAUGCUAUUGGCUCGUCCUUCAGUCCGUGAGGCUACAUUCUGGUCUGGUGAAUGAUUCAUGAUGGGUUGAUCCUCCAUUGCACGAGCAGUUGCAUGUGCCACCUAAUCAGUAAUUCAUGGUGCUGGCUUGAUGGUGUUUUGAGGGUACUGUUUGGAAACACGUUGGAUCACUUCACUGUCAAUCAGACUGGUGUCAUUCUGUCUAUUGAAAGCUGUGCCUUCUAUAUAUUAAAGGUAGGCUGAAAGAGGCACCUGGUAAUAAAACUCCAGUUUUUCAUCAGGUUUGUGGUGAAUUGGUGAAGCUGUAGUAGACUGCCAAUUGAGGCUGCAGGGAUAAGAAAUGCUGUGUUCAUCCUAAUUCUGCAAGCUCAAGAGGUGCUCUUGUAUCAGCAGUUGAUGGUCGUUAUUAACGCGGCGCUAACAUGUUCGACGUCUUUUACUGUGGAAUUACGACUUCCGCUGGGCUUGUGUUUUGAUCCUUGGUAACAUUUGCAGUUCGUUGCUGUGGGUUUGCCGUUGAAAGGUUUUGUCAGCAAUUGAUUGUCUAAUUGGGACGAUACUGCCGCGGCGCUGACAGAAGCAAUGUCUUCUACUUUGGGAUUAUGGGUGUUUUGGGGUGGCCGGUUAUCCAGCUGAAAAUAUUUUUCGCCUCUUCGCUGGCGCUACCGUUACAUACUAUGUUUAGAAUUGGUUAGUGAAUUCCAAUGGAUGAUUCAGUUUUGUGGUAAUCAGGUAUCUCAGGGCAACUCCG
rnacentral:lncRNA from 1 species